CAGGGUUAUAGACAGGGUUAUAGACCAGGGUUAUAGACAGGGUUAUAGAGGGUUUAGGCUAGGGAUAGGAUACAGGGUUAUAGACAGGGUUAUAGACAGAGUUAUAGACAGGGUUAUAGACAGAGUUAUAGACAGGGUUAUAGGGGGUUUAGGCUAGGGCUAGGAUACAGGGUUAUAGACAGGGUUAUAGACAGGGUUAUAGACAGGAUUAUAGACAGGGUUAUAGACAGGGUUAUAGACAGGGUUAUAUGCAGGGUUAUAUGCAGGGUUAUAUGCAGGGUUAUAGAGGUUCUAGGCAGGGUUAUAGAGGUUCUAGGCUAGGGACAGGAUAUAUGUUAUAGACAGGGUUAUAUGCAGGGUUAUUAUAGACAGGGUUAUAGUAGAGGUAUACUCAGUAGCAAGCUGACCCAGCUAAUUAGUUAGGUAGUGUAUACCCAGUAGCCAG
rnacentral:lncRNA from 1 species